GAUGAAGAACGCAGCGAAAUGCGAUAAGUAAUGCGAAUUGCAGAAUUUCCGUGAGUCAUCGAAUCUUUGAACGCACAUUGCGCCCACUGGUAUUCCGGUGGGCAUGCCUGUUCGAGCGUCAUUAUCCUCCCUCAAACCCCGGGUUUGGUGUUGGAUCCAAGUUGUGUGAACAACUGGUCUCAAAGACAAUGACGGCGUCCGUGGGACCCUCGGUGCAACGAGCUUUUAGGAGCACGCAUCGAGUUGCAAGGACCUUCCGGGCCGGUCUCCUUUACCAUUUUACAAGGUUGACCUCGGAUCAGGUAGGAAUACCCGCUGAACUUAAGCAUAUCAAUAAGCGGAGGA
rnacentral:misc_RNA from 1 species